rnacentral:rRNA from 1 species
UAAGGAAUAUUGGUCAAUGGACGCAAGUCUGAACCAGCCAUGCCGCGUGAAGGAAGACGGCCCUACGGGUUGUAAACUUCUUUUGUACGGGAAAAAACCACCGGUCGUGAACCGGUGCUGAUGGUACCGUAAGAAUAAGCAUCGGCUAACUCCGUGCCAGCAGCCGCGGUAAUACGGAGGAUGCAAGCGUUAUCCGGAUUCAUUGGGUUUAACGGGUGCGCAGGCGGAAUGAUAAGUCAGUGGUGAAAUCCUACGGCUCAACUGUAGAACUGCAAUUGAUACUGGUGUUCUUGAGUACAGUGGGAGUGGGCGGAAUGUGUCAUGUAGCGGUGAAAUGCUUAGAUAUGACACAGAACACCGAUCGCGAAGGCAGCUCACUAAGUUGUAACUGACGCUCAGGCACGAAAGCGUGGGGAUCAAACA